rnacentral:lncRNA from 1 species
UGGCAGUUCCUUGGAGAAACUAGGGGUGAUUCUAUCAUAAAAAGGGGUGGGGGAGAGUAGAUCAGGCAGACACAAUCACUGAAGGAGGAGAGUACAGGAGAUUUAGAGGAAGAAGAUCUGUGAAGAGGUUUGGGAGGAGUUAAGAAGGGAAAGCAAUCAGUCAUUUUUCCAAAGGCCAGUCUGCAGGGCUGGGACUGAGCACAGGCUGAAAUCAAGGUUGGACUACCUCUCAGCCCUUCUCAAGCCCUCCAGGCCUAGCAGUCUCCAUCUGAUCCUGUAUUGGAAAUGGGCAUGGAAGAUGCCACAACUUCUCAAGCUUUCCCUAGGAAAAGGGGUGGGUGAACUUCUGGCCUGAAGAAUCUGAGAGAUGGAGUUUCUUCAUGUUGACCAGGAUGGUCUCGAUCUUUUGACCUUGUGAUCCACCCAUCUCGGCCUCCCAAAGUGCUGGAAUUACAGGAUGGAAGGUCAACUUUGCUCUUCUCCUGGGUUCUGGAACCAGACCUUCCUAACCUGCUCUGCUCACCUGGAGCCCCAGCCCACUGUCACCCAUGCCCUCAUCUCCAGACUCUUCUUCCAGCAAGUAAGAGUCACAGCAGCUAGGCUUGCAAAGCAGGGAUGGUGGCUUGGAGCACCAGCUUCCGUGUCAAGCAGGGCAGGCUGCACUCCCAGCGCCCUGGUGCCUCUGGCUCUCGAGGCUUGUUCCUCAUCUCUAGCUCCCUCACAGAGUUGUCCUGAGGCUCACAAUGGGAACACAUCAAUAAAUUACCUAUUGCAUUAAAAUGAGUUGUUAUUAUUGGCACAAUUGUUAUUGACGCUUAAGCCUGAAGGCAAAUAAAUGAUUUUUAGCUGCAAAA